UACGUAGGCAGCAAGCGUUGUUCGGAGUUACUGGGCGUAAAGGGUAUGUAGGCGGUUAUUUAAGUUUGGUGUGAAAUCUCCCGGCUCAACCGGGAGGGUGCGCCGAAUACUGAAUGACUUGGAGUGCGGGAGAGGAAAGUGGAAUUCCUGGUGUAGCGGUGAAAUGCGUAGAUAUCAGGAGGAACACCGGUGGUGUAGACGGCUUUCUGGACCGUAACUGACGCUGAGACACGAAAGCGUGGGUAGCAAACAGG
rnacentral:rRNA from 1 species